rnacentral:rRNA from 1 species
UGGCCAAGUUUUUAAGGGCGCACGGUGGAUGCCUUGGCACCAGGAACCGAUGAAGGACGUGGGAGGCCACGAUAGUCCCCGGGGAGUCGUCAACCAGGCUUUGAUCCGGGGGUUUCCGAAUGGGGAAACCCGGCAGUCGUCAUGGGCUGUCACCCGCUGCUGAACUCAUAGGCAGUGUGGAGGGAACGCGGGGAAGUGAAACAUCUCAGUACCCGCAGGAAGAGAAAACAACCGUGAUUCCGGGAGUAGUGGCGAGCGAAACUGGAUGAGGCCAAACCGUAUGUGUGUGAUACCCGGCAGGGGUUGCGCAUGCGGGGUUGUGGGAUCUCUCUUCCACGGUCUGCCGGCCGUGGGACGAGUCAGAAACCGUUGAUGUAGGCGAAGGACAUGCGAAAGGUCCGGCGUAGAGGGUAAGACCCCCGUAGUCGAAACAUCAGCGGCUCGUUUGAGAGACACCCAAGUAGCACGGGGCCCGAGAAAUCCCGUGUGAAUCUGGCGGGACCACCCGCUAAGCCUAAAUAUUCCCUGGUGACCGAUAGCGGAUAGUACCGUGAGGGAAUGGUGAAAAGUACCGCGGGAGCGGAGUGAAAUAGUACCUGAAACCGUGUGCCUACAAGCCGUGGGAGCGUCGCGCAUCGAGCUUGCUCGGUGCGUCGUGACUGCGUGCCUUUUGAAGAAUGAGCCUGCGAGUUAGCGGUGUGUAGCGAGGUUAACCCGUGUGGGGAAGCCGUAGCGAAAGCGAGUCCGAAGAGGGCGAUUUGAGUUGCACGCUCUAGACCCGAAGCGGAGUGAUCUAGCCAUGGGCAGGUUGAAGCGGCUGUAAGAGGUCGUGGAGGACCGAACCCACCAGGGUUGAAAACCUGGGGGAUGACCUGUGGUUAGGGGUGAAAGGCCAAUCAAACUCCGUGAUAGCUGGUUCUCCCCGAAAUGCAUUUAGGUGCAGCGUCGUGUGUUUCUUGCCGGAGGUAGAGCACUGGAUAGGCGAUGGGCCCUACCGGGUUACUGACCUUAGCCAAACUCCGAAUGCCGGUAAGUGAGAGCGCGGCAGUGAGACUGUGGGGGAUAAGCUCCAUGGUCGAGAGGGAAACAGCCCAGAGCAUCGACUAAGGCCCCUAAGCGUACGCUAAGUGGGAAAGGAUGUGGAGUCGCAGAGACAACCAGGAGGUUGGCUUAGAAGCAGCCACCCUUGAAAGAGUGCGUAAUAGCUCACUGGUCUAGUGAUUCCGCGCCGACAAUGUAGCGGGGCUCAAGCGUACCGCCGAAGUCGUGUCAUUGCAGCAUGAGGGCCAACGCCCGCUGUGAUGGGUAGGGGAGCGUCGUGUGCCGGGUGAAGCAGCCGUGGAAGCGAGUUGUGGACGGUUCACGAGUGAGAAUGCAGGCAUGAGUAGCGAUUC